CGAAAGUGCUCGUUGUUGCAUUGCUUUCCUUUUUUUUUUACCGUUCUCCUUCUACUUACUCCCUCCCAGUGCCACACACACACACGCACACGGACAUACUUAUCCCUGUGUGCAGGCACAGCGACAUACGCCCUGACGCAGGCGCGCUAAACUGCGCACGUGUGUGAGAGGUAAUCACUCUACGCGGUGGAGGGGGACAGUACGAAGGAGAGCCAGCAACAGCAUCAAGAUUCAAUCGAAAAGGGCAGAAAGAGACAUCGAUUACCAUCACCACAACGCUUCCCCGGGAAUCAUUAGCCUUCAUUUUUUUUGUUCGCAUUCUCUGGCUUCACGUCGUUGCCGCUUUUUCAUUUUUGCUCCCCUCCCUCCUCCAACUACGGCGCCAACGUGGGCACACUUACCCCUUCGCACACACACGCACACACACACAUACACGCAUACAUACGGAGGUAAUCAUCGCCCACUCCGUAGGCCAUUUGCAUGCGGCCUCCAUUGAGUACAACUGAGCCUCUCUCCCUCCCUCCAACGCACGCAUCGUACCCACGGUGACUGUUUCGGUUUCUAACCUCAGCCUUUUUUUUGGUCUUGGUUGCUUUUGUACUCUUCUCGCGCCGCUUCUAGGGUUGGAGAGAUGGAGCGAUACACGGUGAUGGGCCAGCUAGGCGACGGAUCCUUCGGAACGGUGAGUAAAGCUCAAAACACGAGCACUGGCGAAAUCGUGGCGGUGAAGAAGAUGAAGCAGCGCUUCCACAGCUGGGAGGAGUGCCUGCAGCUACGCGAGAUUCAGUCGCUGCGCAAGGUGCAGCACCCCAACCUGGUGAAGCUGAAGGAAGUGGUGCGCGAGAAGACAGAGCUUUUCAUGAUUUUCGAGUACUGCGAAAAGAAUAUAUUUCAAAUUCAGCGCCAGCGUGCCAAUGAAAUGAGCGGCACAAUGGCCUUUAGUGACAAAGAGAUCCGCAGUAUCAUGUGUCAGACGUUGCUCGGGGUGCAGGCGAUCCACAAGGCUGGCUUUAUGCACCGUGACCUGAAGCCAGAGAACUUGCUCAUCUCGGGCGACUUGGUGAAGGUCGCCGACUUCGGCCUCGCGAAGGAGAUUCGCUCCCGCCCACCGUUCACGGAGUACGUGUCGACACGGUGGUACCGCGCGCCGGAGCUUGUGCUGCACUCGACGCACUACAACUCCCCCGUCGACAUCUGGGCGUGCGCGGUGAUCUUUGCUGAGCUCUACCUGUGCCGUCCCCUCUUUCCGGGUACUUCAGAGAGCGACCAGCUGUUUAAAAUUUGCUCCGUGCUCGGCUCCCCGGCCCCCAAUGAGUGGGACGAGGGGUACCAGCUAGCGCGCCGCAUGAACAUGCGCUUCCCAACCGUCGCGCCAACGCCGCUGCGCCACAUCCUCACCACGGCACCGCCGGCGGCCGUGGACCUUAUGGCGCAGAUGCUGCGUUUCAACCCAGCGGAGCGACCCACCGCGACGCAGUGCCUGCAGCACCCGUAUUUCACUGGCAGUGGCGGCAGCUCUGCGCUGUACGCUGGCAUCGCCACCGGCCAGCCGCACAACCCGUUUCAACUGGCCGCCAGCAGCGCGGUUGCUGCGCAGUCGAUGUCGAAUGUGGGCUUGACCAGCAACAGCAGCCCGCCACCAACCACCUCGAACGCGUCCCUCUUCAAGUACGCUAAUCUGUUCAACCAGGGGAAUCGCAGCCCGCUCUCCGUUAGCAGCACCUCUGCCCCAUUUUCGGGCAGCAGCGCUCUCCAGGGAAGCGUGACUAGCAGCAACAUGGUCCGCUCUGUACCAACGCAGCGCAAGACUUCCGUCCCAAAUGCAGUGGACAGCGACGACGAGUUCAACUUCUGAGAUAUAACGACGCAUACAUGCAGACGUGCGCCCCUCUCCCCUGCUCAUGUUGGUUUUCUUCUAGUUCCCCUGUGUGCGCGUGCUGCGUGAAGGGUGGCGUCUCUGCCUUUCCCCACCUCCCUCUCGUGCCGUUCGUUGUCGAGAUGUGGCGGAUAUUGUGUCGCUUUCACUCCUCUCCCCAUCACCAUCAUGUCUGUCUUUGUUUUUCCUUGUGGGUUUUCUUUAUCCACACCUCUUUCUCCUCUUUCCGUCCUGCCGCGCGUGCGUCUUUGUGUGUGUGUGUGCUUGUCUGUAUCUGUAUCUCUGUGGGGGAUCGCAAGGGGAGAACGAAAUGGGAGACGGGGUACUCUGUGCAUAUGAGGAUAGUGCCCCUCAGUGGAAGACUCAUCAGAAAAAAAAGAGCCCAUCUUCUGGUACCAUUUGUGUGUAGGUGUGUGUCUGCGUGCGAGCUGAUUUGCAGUUGUUGGCACUGCUGCCGCUGCUCCACCUGCUUCAUUCACUAUGUGCUUCACCUUUUUUUGGUGCUGUUUUGCGGAUUCUCUCCUCCUUCGAUGUGCCGCACUACAUCUAUAUCGAGAGGUCUCCCGUUAUCAGGCUCUCUCUCCAUUGCUAUCCCCGUAGCUCAUUGCGGUACCUCUUAGACUCUCUAAAGGGACAGCGCCCCCUCCCCCUCACACCCCACAGCCUUUCCGUCUUUUUGGAGCGAAACGGACCCCCCUCUCCCCGCCACGCCGGCUUGAUCCGGUGCCACACUCCUUCCACGUUUCCCCCUCUUCUGUCUCUUCUAGUUCUCCCCUCGUUUUGUGUGCUCUGUUUUCUUUGACUCUCUCACUCUCGUCUCUUACUCACGUCUUUUAUUCCGCGCUUUUCCUUGUUGGUUUCAUGUGUAUCUGCCCGUGAGUGCAUCCGUUUGUGAGUUCAGUCUGAUGUAAGCUACGCUCCUCUCCACGUUUCGUUUUCGCUUUUUCCUUCUCCACCGAUCCUUUUUUUUUGGUUUUCGCCGUUUCCCAUCGCUGGCUCUCUCCCUCGCUCUUCUUUUUCCGGUGCUUGCCAGCUAUAGGAAGUCGAAGACAAGGAAAGGCAGAGAGAGAACGGCGAAUUCGCAAGAGCGUGUGCGUUAUGUAUACGUGGUGGCUUGGGAGUAACGUUGGUGGUAAAACAUAUGGCGACGACUUUGUUCUCUUCACCUGUUUUCUUCACGCGGAGGGCGUGUGUAUGCGUUUGUGUAAUGUAGUGGCCGCUUCUCUCUUUGUUCCUCGGCUUCUCUUUACUCUUUUCUUGUUCCGCACCUCUCGUCGAUCUAUGUGCUGCCGUUGUUGUGUUGCUGCAGCACUGCAUGCAGCGUGCUGCGUGCGUACGGCUUCUCCCUUUUGUACUAUUCACAUGUUUGCCUGUGCUGGUGCCCGUGGGCUCUAUCUGUUUUCCUUUAAUGGUGCCAGGCGUCGCAGGUGGCAAGCAGCACAGGGUCUGCCAACACGCACGCGCGCACGCACAGGUAUAGGGGCGAUAUAUAUCGCCCCUAUUUUAUUUUAUUUUUUCAUCUUUUGUUUCGCUUCACAGAACCGCCAGCAGGUGCCUCGGGAGAUCGCAUUCAAAACCUGCUAAAAGGGAACAGAAGAGAUUAUAUGUGUAGUAGAUCUCCUCAUUCUCUCCUUUUCUGUGGGUGUUUGCUCGACUUGACUGCUUAUCUUUUUCUUUCCUCUUUUUUUUUAUGCCAUGCCGUGCUCUUCCCAAAGUCUCCCGCCGCCUUCGACGGUACACUCUUUCAUAUUCCUCUGGGCCUCUUUUUUGUCUGUUUUCGAGCGCUCUAUCUUUACCUCUUCCACGCUUGCUCUGCCGCUCUUCUGUUUCUUUGUUUUUUUUUUUCGAUUGUUAAACUCGCGUUUGUCUUUGCUAGCGGUUGUACGUGCUUGCUUGCGAACAUGAUUGGGGUGCUCCCGAAUCUGCCCUUCUUUUUUCGUCGAUCAAGUCAAUCACAUCCCCUGAUGGCGGUGGUAGGGAACGCCUCAGUGCGUGGUAUCCGCGGUCCAGUACCCCCACUCUGUGGGAAUGCCGAGCAGCCGCCCGCCCCUGUCCCCCGCCCCUGUCCCCCGCCAGUGCCGAGGCACUUCUGCUGCUGAUAGGGCCAGGCACCUACGGCGUGUGGGAGGUCAGAGCGACUUAUCGCUACUGAUGUCGGCAUCCAGGUCGUAUAUAACGCUGCGCCGGAGCGAUCUGUGAUUGUGAGCAUAUUUGUGCCAUCCAUAUGAUGGCUAGAGUGUGAGCGUGACUCGAGCGUAUCUCGCCCAGCCCUCACUGCCCUGCUGGUGGGGUGGGGCGCUUGUGUGCCACCCGGAGGGUGAUGCGCCGGGUGGCGAGCAGCACAAUGGGAAGCGACUGUGAGGCAGCCUACUUGGUGGGCGGGUGGGCAGAGUUUGAGGCAGAGACGGCGCUCCGAUGACUGUGUCGGCGCAUUGCUGUAACGCGCUUCUAGCGCUGCUUCGCACCGCGCGGAAUGGGGGCCUGUGGCAGGCUGUGAGGGGUAGGGUGGAGUGGAGCUCGUGCUGUAUGGCGGAGGACGCGCCGGGAAAAGAAAGCUUCGUCUUUCCGCCAACUCCUUUCUCGUCUGGGCUUCGUGUGUGUGUGUGUGUGGUUCUCCUGCCUCCCGUCUCUCUUCGCCGUUUAUUGGUUUUGAUAGCUCUGGCGCCUCUGGCGUUUGCCUCUGUCGCGUUUUGUGCCCGGGGCUUCUCACUCUUCCCACCCUUUCCUCAGCAAUUCGCUUCACGUAAAGAUGUAGCAGGAGUACCAACGGAAGGCGAGAACGCAAGGAAAGGAUAAUGACAGCGUUGAAGUGGUGGAAUGCUGCAAGCGCCCGCAAGCAAGUGUGAGCGCAGGAGCCGGCACCGCGCACAAACACACGCCGGCAUGACAAAGGAAACGAGAACGAGAAGGAUGCUGUUCCACCGAGUUCACCUUAAGUGUGCACAAAAUGUUUUGACAAUGAAAAAGACACGCAAUAGUAGCACUGGGCAAG
rnacentral:misc_RNA from 1 species